CCCUUUGGGGUGUGACUGCGUACCUUUUGUAUAAUGGGUCAGCGACUUAUAUUCUGUAGCAAGGUUAACCGUAUAGGGGAGCCGGAGGGAAACCGAGUCUUAACCGGGCGUUAAGUUGCAGGGUAUAGACCCGAAACCCGGUGAUCUAGCCAUGGGCAGGUUGAAGGUUGGGUAACACUAACUGGAGGACCGAACCGACUAAUGUUGAAAAAUUAGCGGAUGACCUGUGGCUGGGGGUGAAAGGCCAAUCAAACCGGGAGAUAGCUGGUUCUCCCCGAAAGCUAUUUAGGUAGCGCCUCGUGAAUUCAUCUCCGGGGGUAGAGCACUGUUUCGGCUAGGGGGCCAUCCCGGCUUACCAACCCGAUGCAAACUGCGAAUACCGGAGAAUGUUAUCACGGGAGACACACGGCGGGUGCUAACGUCCGUCGUGAAGAGGGAAACAACCCAGACCGCCAGCUAAGGUCCCAAAGUCAUGGUUAAGUGGGAAACGAUGUGGGAAGGCCCAGACAGCCAGGAUGUUGGCUUAGAAGCAGCCAUCAUUUAAAGAAAGCGUAAUAGCUCACUGGUCGAGUCGGCCUGCGCGGAAGAUGUAACGGGGCUAAACCAUGCACCGAAGCUGCGGCAGCGACGCUGAUGCGUUGUUGGGUAGGGGAGCGUUCUGUAAGCCUGCGAAGGUGGCCUGUGAGGGUUGCUGGAGGUAUCAGAAGUGCGAAUG
rnacentral:rRNA from 1 species